GCCGGGUGUGGUGGCGCAUGCCUGUAGUCCAAGUUACUUGGGAGGCUGAGGUGGGAGGAUGGCUUUAGCCCAGGAGGUGGAGGUUGCAGUGAGCUGAGAUCAUGCCACUGCACUCCAGCCUGGGCAACAGGGCCAGACCCUGUCUUAA
rnacentral:SRP_RNA from 1 species